CAGGGAGACAACAAAAUGUUUAAUAUUAUUAUUUUGUCACCUUAGGUCGAUCGGUAUCUCACGUUUUUAAUUUAUUAAGAACUUCAUUUCCUAAGUUUUUCUAGGUCACACCCAUUAUUUUUCCUGGGCCAUUAGCUCAGGUGGUUAGAGCGCACCCCUGAUAAGGGUGAGGUCCCUGGUUCAAGUCCAGGAUGGCCCAUAUCUCUAUGUUGGGGGUAUAGCUCAGUUGGUAGAGCGCCUGCUUUGCAAGCAGGAUGUCAGCGGUUCGAGUCCGCUUACCUCCACUGAUUACCACCUCUUCCAUAACCGGUAGUAAGGAAAUGUUUUGAGUUGUGAUCAAAUUCUGAAAGAAUCUAGCUUCCUAAUGAAAUCAUUAAGAUGCUGGACUCAUUGAAUUAAUUUCAUUGUUUUCAGAGAACCUUGACAACUGCAUAGAUUAUUUUUAAAGACAAUGAGCAUCUUUAAUGAUGCAGAUUUAUUAUUUGUGCGAAUGCAUUAAUAACAAUUCUAUUAAGCUGAUGCUUCAAUUUUUGAAGUUAUU
rnacentral:tRNA from 1 species